UGAAGAUUUUGGAGUACAAAAGGGGAAGAAUAGUGCUUGAUAAUUGCAUGGAAAUGUAAAUGCUUUGGGGAUACUACAUGGAGGCAGCAAAUGGCAUACAUUUAGAGAGAAUGACUUAGGUAUUCUGGCAUUGAGACUUCAUGAAAGAGAGGAUUUCUUCUGAGUGCUCAUCAGAUCUAGAUUUCAGAAAGAAACCAAGACAAAAAAAAAGGGACAUGGCACUGGAGCAAGGAUCUGUUGGUUAGAAAUGGUUAUUGGUAUGGAUACAGAAAGGCUCUAAAUGGUAGUCUGGAUUUGUGCUUGUCCACACAAGCAGUGACCACCACUUUCAAAUAAUGCAGGUGAACAAACAUGAGGAAAAAGCUGAGAAAAAAAAAAAAUGGAUCUAUUUGUGGGAAAAACAUCCAUAAGAACCAGGAAAAGGGGAGCAGAAAAAAAUUUAUCUGGAGCACUUCAAAGAAUGCAGGUCCUUGUCAUAGAAAAGUCUGCUCAUGAAGUGUGUUUUCUUAUUAUCAUCUAUAUAAUUUCACAGUAUGGCUACUGAGUGCUGAAUAAAACAAUAUCAGAAUACAAAAGCCAAGGUUAUAGUCUUUAGUAUUUGAUGCCAAUUUUAAUUUUAACAGACAUUUCAUUUUAAGUCAAACCCACCUCUAUCUGCAAAGUAUAUAUCUUUGCUAUCAAUAUAUCUGUAAAAUUGCUAUCAAGGAGCUGGCAGCUUAUCUAUAAAGCUUGCUGUAAAGGACUUUCCUGGUUUCUACUGAAAAUGAUCACUUUGAUCACUUUGCUACAUAUAAAGCUUAAAGGAGGGGAUUUUAAAACAAAAUGCAACAUAUAAAAUACUCACUAUACUUCCUCUCUGGAACAUGAAGCAUCUAAGGAAUUCUACCAAAUGCUCCCUAAAGAAGACAAAUCUCAAAAAAGUUUCUUAAAAAAUAAAAAAAGUUUCUUCCUUGUUCUGACCAGACUGCCUUUAAAUUACACUGCAAAACCCUUCUGAAAGGUUGUUCUUGGAAAGCAGAAAAAAUGAUGAUCAAACCUGCCAUGAGGCAGAUGAUUAUCAAGAACUUUAAUGGAUUUGAGCACAGGGCUACAGCAGAGCUACAAAAGAAUCCCUUGACCUCAGUGUGUGUUUUUGUUCUGGCACAAAGCACCAAAGCCUGCAGUGCACUUUUAAUGUUGCUUUAAUAGUGUGGAAGCCCAACCCUCUACCUAGCCAGAGACUUUUCAAAACCCUUUUAAGCCUCUGAAGACAUUUGCUCUGUAUUAUCAAGGUUCCCAUUUAACACUGGAUGAAUCCAUUUAGAGCCACUGACCUGGACCUCUAAUGAAAAUUUGACAAAUAUUGGUUCCAAGUCCUUCUUCAAAGUUUCAAGAAUUCUGGCUACAUUUCAUCUUCAUAAUCUUUGCCCAGCCAUGAAUUUCACUUGGAAUUCUCCAAACAAACAACAGGGUCAAUGCACAGUUAGGUAAUUUGUUUCCAGGAACAGUGAAUCUUUCUGCUGUGGAUUUUUCUGCUGUGGAUUCUAACCCCAGCCUGCCCCAGGGAUUUAACUCCCCACACAACCUCAGUAGGAAGUGCCUUGUGCUUCCAGUGGAGCAGGCAACACCAAAAACCCCCAGAUGGAUUUUGGAUUGCUAUGACCAAUUCUCCUGUCAUCAAGUAUUUGCUCUCUAGAGAGCCCACAAGAAACUUCAGGUCUAUUCAGAUUGUUAAAAUCUAUUUUAUUCUUACCAGUGAUGUUAUUUUGAUGAAAAAAAAUCUACUUGCAGUGCUGCCCCUGAUAUCCAAACUCAACAGGCUUUUAUUAUACUAUGAA